rnacentral:rRNA from 1 species
CUACGGGCGGCACCAGUGGGGAAUAUUGCACAAUGGGGGAAACCCUGAUGCAGCAACGCCGCGUGGAGGAUGACACAUUUCGGUGCGUAAACUCCUUUUAUAUAAGAAGAUAAUGACGGUAUUAUAUGAAUAAGCACCGGCUAACUCCGUGCCAGCAGCCGCGGUAAUACGGGAGGGUGCAAGCGUUAUUCGGAAUCACUGGGCGUAAAGGGUGCGUAGGCGGUUUGGAAAGUCAGGUGUGAAAGCCCGGGGCUCAACUCCGGAACUGCACUUGAAACUUCCAGACUAGAAUACUGAAGGGGCAGAUGGAAUUAGUGGUGUAGGGGUAAAAUCCGUAGAUAUCACUAGGAAUACCGAAAGCGAAAGCGAUCUGCUGGGAAGUUAUUGACGCUGAGGCACGAAAGCGUGGGGAGCAAACAGGAUUAGAUACCCGUGUAGUC